AUUGAACGCUGGCGGCAGGCUUAACACAUGCAAGUCGAGCGGGGGAAGGUAGCUUGCUACCGGACCUAGCGGCGGACGGGUGAGUAAUGCUUAGGAAUCUGCCUAUUAGUGGGGGACAACAUCUCGAAAGGGAUGCUAAUACCGCAUACGUCCUACGGGAGAAAGCAGGGGAUCUUCGGACCUUGCGCUAAUAGAUGAGCCUAAGUCGGAUUAGCUAGUUGGUGGGGUAAAGGCCUACCAAGGCGACGAUCUGUAGCGGGUCUGAGAGGAUGAUCCGCCACACUGGGACUGAGACACGGCCCAGACUCCUACGGGAGGCAGCAGUGGGGAAUAUUGGACAAUGGGGGGAACCCUGAUCCAGCCAUGCCGCGUGUGUGAAGAAGGCCUUAUGGUUGUAAAGCACUUUAAGCGAGGAGGAGGCUACUUUAGUUAAUACCUAGAGAUAGUGGACGUUACUCGCAGAAUAAGCACCGGCUAACUCUGUGCCAGCAGCCGCGGUAAUACAGAGGGUGCGAGCGUUAAUCGGAUUUACUGGGCGUAAAGCGUGCGUAGGCGGCUUAUUAAGUCGGAUGUGAAAUCCCCGAGCUUAACUUGGGAAUUGCAUUCGAUACUGGUGAGCUAGAGUAUGGGAGAGGAUGGUAGAAUUCCAGGUGUAGCGGUGAAAUGCGUAGAGAUCUGGAGGAAUACCGAUGGCGAAGGCAGCCAUCUGGCCUAAUACUGACGCUGAGGUACGAAAGCAUGGGGAGCAAACACGAUUAGAUACCCUGGUAGUCCAUGCCGUAAACGAUGUCUACUAGCCGUUGGGGCCUUUGAGCUUUAGUGGCGCAGCUAACGCGAU
rnacentral:rRNA from 1 species